CCACCCCCACCCCUUCUCUCUUUCUCCCUCUGCUUCUUACCAGAACGAAAGAUAUCAUCAAUAACCUUUACACCUAAAGAUACUCGUGAUCUACACCCUAAAACUCUGUUUUUCAUUCAAUUUCACAACAAAUUGCAUCAAUCUGUGAACUAUUUAUCAAAUCACACGCGAAUUUAACAACACUAAUCGAAUGGAUACUGAUUGCGUGGUCGAAACCCUAACAGAUUCAGUUAUUAUCGCAUUAAUUUCUGUUUAUUUGCUCGUUUGAUGAAGCUUGUUCGUUCUGGUAAUUUGGAUUCUUAAUUACUAAGAGAAAGAAAGAGAGAAGGGGGUGGGGGUGGGUUUGCUUUUUUUUAUUUUCAUGUGUUUUUUAUUAGUAAGGGCAUUUUGGUCAUUUCAACCCACUUAACACCAAAAGUUAACCCCAUCCGUGCCAGGGACUAUCCGAGAACGAAAUUGCAAAAGUUGGGGACUAUAGCUGUAAUUUUAGAAAGUUGGGGACUAAAGAUGAAAAAUGGGCAAACCACAGGGACUAUCCGAGCAUUUUUCUCUUUUUAAAAUGACCCGUUUGAGAUAAACAUAGCUUACAUCCCGAAAAAAACUCUAGUUGCCAAGAAUCGAUUCAAAUUGUCACGGUGCAACCAAGCGUGCUCAGGGAAAACGUCCUCGAACCAGCCUAAAACUAGUCUAAAACAUCCAAAAAUGUCCUUGUAUUUUUCGGCAUAGUUGUUACGAUACAACUUACACGGGAGAGUGCAGUAAAAAGCAUAGAUUAUCCAGUUGGCGAAUAGUUUUGGCUGCUCUCUUUAGAGAAAGAAUGAUUCAUGCAGUCUUUAUAUUGACAUGCUGGGUAUUGUGGGAAGCUCGGAGCACAAAGGUUUUCAAAGGUGUGGUUCAUUUAGUCUUUAAGAUGGUAGAAGAGAUUAAAGAAGUAUCACGAGAAUGCCUAAAGUAUCGCAUAACAGCUGGAGCCUCCUAAAGCACAGUUACCCUAGAUUAUGUCAAUAUUUAGAUUGAAUGUAGUCCUAAGGCUUGCAAUGUACCUUAGCUUUAUUUAUGUAUGUUACUGUUUUGCUGUUGUAGCCCAGCCCCCUAAAGCACCUUGCUUGGGAGCUUGGAUGUUGUUUGGAAUAAUAAAAUGCUCCCUUAUUUCAUUCAAAAAACUAAAGUUGGUUGAUGUUUCUUGUAGUUGCUGUUGAGACACAUGUGGGUUGAUUUUUCGCACGUUUGACCCGUUUCUUUUUACGUUUCUUUUACGAUGCUAUUUUUUGAUCCAGUUAACUUUAAUCCGCCACACUUUCACACAUUUGACGCGU
rnacentral:lncRNA from 1 species